rnacentral:rRNA from 1 species
AUGAACGCUGGCGGCGUGCCUAAUACAUGCAAGUCGAGCGAACAGACGAGGAGCUUGCUCCUUUGACGUUAGCGGCGGACGGGUGAGUAACACGUGGAUAACCUACCUAUAAGACUGGGAUAACUUCGGGAAACCGGAGCUAAUACCGGAUAACAUGUUGAACCGCAUGGUUCAACAGUGAAAGACGGUCUUGCUGUCACUUAUAGAUGGAUCCGCGCCGCAUUAGCUAGUUGGUAAGGUAACGGCUUACCAAGGCAACGAUGCGUAGCCGACCUGAGAGGGUGAUCGGCCACACUGGAACUGAGACACGGUCCCGACUCCUACGGGAGGCAGCAGUAGGGAAUCUUCCGCAAUGGGCGAAAGCCUGACGGAGCAACGCCGCGUGAGUGAAGAAGGUCUUCGGAUCGUAAAACUCUGUUAUUAGGGAAGAACAAAUGUGUAAGUAACUAUGCACGUCUUGACGGUACCUAAUCAGAAAGCCACGGCUAACUACGUG